rnacentral:lncRNA from 1 species
UAAAUCAAAAGAAAUCUAAGUCAAUAAAUGUUGAAAUGAUUUUAAUAACUAGUGUUUAUUUUUUUAAAUACUAACUAGUGCUUUUAGAUUAGUUAAUAUACUAUUUAUAAUAAUAUCUUCGUAUUACAUGCAAUAGUUGAUAGUAAAUGUGAUACUUACAAUGCAUAGGAUAAAGAUACUUUUUAAUAUAAAAAGAUUCAAGUUAUGAAUGAUAGAAUAACUAAGGUUAAUGUUAUGAAGGAAUGAUAGAAUGAUUGUCUUUCUGCGGCUUCCAACCUAAUUAUUCAUCUAUCCCAUCCGGGAUUCCCUUGGUUGGUAUAUCGUAUAGAAGAGAGGCUUUCCUCUUAGCAAUUAGGAGUGAUCCUUACCUCGAACUAUAAAUUGAAUAAAUUUCAUAAUAGAAGAAAAGGGCAGUGGAGGCACCCAUUGAUUUUGCACCUUCAUACAUCUCAAGUUGAGAAUUCUCGUAAUGAUCAGUGAAAAGAAA